AACGCGAAGAACCUUACCUGGGCUCGAAAUGUUGUGGACCGGGGUAGAAAUAUCCCUUCCCCGCAAGGGGCCGCAAUAUAGGUGCUGCAUGGCUGUCGUCAGCUCGUGUCGUGAGAUGUUGGGUUAAGUCCCGCAACGAGCGCAACCCUUAUCUCCAGUUGCUACCAUUUAGUUGAGCACUCUGGCGAAACCGCCUCGGAUAACGGGGAGGAAGGUGGGGAUGACGUCAAGUCCUCAUGGCCUUUAUGUCCAGGGCUACACACGUGCUACAAUGGCCGGUACAAACCGUCGCAAACCCGCGAGGGGGAGCUAAUCGGAAAAAGCCGGCCUCAGUUCGGAUCGCAGUCUGCAACUCGACUGCGUGAAGCUGGAAUCGCUAGUAAUCGCGGAUCAGAACGCCGCGGUGAAUACGUUCCCGGGCCUUGUACACACCGCGAGC
rnacentral:rRNA from 1 species